GAUUAGCAUUUCAUAAGCGGAGGAAAAGAACCUAUCACGGAUUUCCCUAUACUGUGAGUGAGAGGGGAGAGGUAACAUCAGAUCUGACACAGUUAUGCCGUCCGAGUCGUCAUCUAGAGAAGUUUGAAUGUGCUGCCCCAGGGUUAAGUCUCCUGGAAUGGAGGGUCAUAGUUGGUGAGAAUCCGCUCGUUGUCACUGACAGGCAGUGCCUCUGAGGUGGAGUCUCAAAGAGUGGAGUUCUUUGGGCAUGCAGCUCUAACUGUGUGGUAAACUCCAUCUAAAGGUAUAUAUUGGCGAGAGACCGAUAGUGAUCAUGUACAGUGAGGGAAAGACCAAAAGAACUUUGGAAAGAGAGUUAAACAUUAUGUGAAAUUGUUGCACGGGAAACGGUUAAAGUCAGUCGUGUCGGCCAGGGAUCAAGGUAGUUUUAUUAGCCGGGUGUAGUUCCGGAUGAUCAUGGCCAACUUCAUUUUUGACUGUUGGAAAAGGAUAGAGAGAAUGUCGCACCUUUGCGGGGGAAAAAGGUUUCGGUCGGAUGCUCCUCCGGGAGUGAGGAAAGCCGCAGCCUACAAGCCCGGGUUUCGACCACGUUCAUGCAUAGCAAUUGGCAUAAUGUAAUUUCACCACCGUCCCGUAACGAAACCCAAGGAGUGGAGUCGUCUUGCAAGCGAGGGUUGGCAAGUCAAACCCCGGAAUGAAAUGGAAAAGUUGGCAUGCGAGUCAUUGGGAGCAUCGUCGCCCGGUCCUGAGGUUUUGCAAAGGAUUUGAGGUAGAGCAUGUAUGGCCGGACCCGAAAGAAGGUGAACUAUGCCUGUAUAGGGUGAAGCCAGAGGAAACUCUGGUGGAGGCUCGUAGCGGUUCUGACGUGCAAAUCGAUCGUCAAAUAUGGGUCAUAGGGCGAAAGACUAAUCGAAACAUGCUAGGGUCCU
rnacentral:rRNA from 1 species